rnacentral:lncRNA from 1 species
UUACAUCGCCUCUAGCCAUUAUCAUUAUUCUUUACAUCACAUUGCUUUGCCUUGUCUCAAGCCAUUAUCAUUAGGUUCUCACAUUACAUCUCAUGCAUACACAUAGAUUAUUUAGAUUCUUAAUCAUUCUAAUAAGCACGUGUACUCACAUCAUGCAACAUUACAUUAUUAUCAUCACAUUAUUUUACAUUAUCUUUAGCCAUUAUCAUUAUUCUUUACAUCACAUUUAUUCUUUGUUGUCCCACACUAACUCUAGUGUCCACUUUACCAUUUCGAAUGCCACUCGAUCUAUGUUCAACAUGCAUAUAUUUUGUCAUCCCACUACAACAAGUAUAUGAUUUACUGACAUAUUACUUGUGACAUAUAUAUAAAUGACACUAAAAAUUAUUUUUAGCAACAAA